GAAACUCGAGCUAAUACCGCAUAAGCCUUACGAGGGGAAAGCAGGGGAUCUUCGGACCUUGCGCUAUUAGAUGAGCCUGCGUCGGAUUAGCUAGUUGGUAGGGUAAUGGCCUACCAAGGCGACGAUCCGUAGCUGGUCUGAGAGGAUGAUCAGCCACACUGGGACUGAGACACGGCCCAGACUCCUACGGGAGGCAGCAGUGGGGAAUAUUGGACAAUGGGCGCAAGCCUGAUCCAGCAAUGCCGCGUGUGUGAAGAAGGCCUUAGGGUUGUAAAGCACUUUCAGUAGGGAAGAAAAGCACAGGUUUAAUACUCCUGUGUCUUGACGGUACCUACAGAAGAAGCACCGGCUAACUCCGUGCCAGCAGCCGCGGUAAUACNGAGGGUGCAAGCGUUUAAUCGGAAUUACUGGGGCGUUAAGCGCGCGUAGGCGGUUAUAUAAGUCGGGUGUGAAAGCCCCGGGGCUCAACCUGGGGAACUGCAUUCGAUACUGUAU
rnacentral:rRNA from 1 species